UCUCUCUCUGGUCAAAUUAAAAAGUAAUAAGUACAAUUAAUUCUAGAAAAAAAGAAAAAGAUUUGGCUGUCUAGGAACUGAGAAGAAGCAUACCUUCGUUGGUGUGGAAAGGUGGGGCUCUGGGGAGUGAAGUGAUUGGGGCCUGCUGUGACCGAGUUCCGCUGAGUUGACAAAGACCAGACUUGCCGGGGGAACAGGUGCUCGGCAGCUCUGCAGGACCCUCGCUGGACGCGCCCCGCACAUAUGGCCCCGUGGACCUAGGAACUGUUGAAUCAACCUCCGUGUCUAUACCGCCCCGAGUUCCAGGCAUUCUCCGUUAUCAGCACCGGAACGGACUCCAAGGCCACCUGUCUCUGUCACAUCAUCAAAUGGUUAAGGGAGCCUGGAAGGGGAAGAGAACCCGGCUCCCGUGGUGCUGACUCAGCCUCCAGGGUGUCUCCAUGGCAGUUCCGUUUCCCGUGUUCAUCGCUGUUUGGGUCACAGUGGGAUCACCAGGCAGUUUUCAAAACGGACCUACCCAGCACGGACAAGGAGGAACGCUUCCUCGCUGGCUCUCGCUGGCGCUGAGUGCGACCUGCGGCCCAGGGGUACCAGCACCAUGUGGGCAAGUUCCACGUGUCCAUCACUGGAGGGACUGCAGGACACGCUGGGACUGCCAAAGGCUGGAAUGAGGGCCACUCUCCAGUGGGAGGAAGCCUGUGUGUGGACGUGUCAACAGAGCCAAGGUACACGGUGACACGGCAGGUGGCGCAAGAGUGUGACCGGAACAGAAGAGAGACAGGCGCGUGCUGAGGGCACGGGGGUGUUCAACUCGCUAACAGUGGCAGGGUGGGGGGCAGGCAAGCAUUUCCACUUCAUGUGUCCACACAGGAUUUUUAAUGAGCGUGGAUUAGUCCAGGAAGCAGAAAAAUACAAACCAGUCAUGAUUAAAGUGUUCCUCGUAAUUCCUUUAAAAUUUCCCAGCACAAUGGAUGACGAAGCUAUCAUUUCUCUGUCCUUAUUCAUAUAACGUAUGAACCGGAGUAACCCAGCGUCCACUAUCACGACCGGCCAGCAGAGUCUGAGUUUUGACUUGAUUGUAACUUCCUUUCCAAACUGCUGCUCGGCCCAGGCAUGGCGGGACGCCCCAGGGGUAAGAACCAGCUGCCUCUGCCAGGCAGAUCAGAAGACCGCGGGGUAUGAACAGAUGAAGCAGCUGCAAGAAGUGGAGGGUGAGCCCAGACUCGCAAGGACUGCUCUACCCUUCCCAGAACAAUCUUUCUCAAAGGCCAGAGGUCACUGACUUCCAUGUGUCCGAAAUUUACCAAAGUAGCCGAGGCUCACCAGGGCCAAGGAACCCAGUACGGGACUGGAGUGCCUUUGGAUCUGAGAAGGAAGAUGGCCCCGAGGGAAGGAGGCAUGGUAAUGAAGGACCAAAGAAGGGACGCAGUGGGGAUGGCUUGCAGGCCACCGCUGCCAUUCCUCCACCAUGACGCCCAUGCCCGUGUCCUGCCCUGCACAGCCUCGACCUCUAGCAUUUCUCUAGGGGCUGGACACUGGGCCCAAUACCCCUCACCAGAAGAUAGGCUGGGGGUCCUGGGCCAGCGCUGAGUGACAGUGAGCAGAUCACCAGGAAAGUGGGGGCAAUUGUGUCUUUAAAAAGAGUGGGGGCUGGCAGGUGGCAUAGCGGUGUCACUAGACUCCCACAUGGCCAACUGUGGUUCAAGACUCAGAACCUAUGCUUUGAAACUCACGCUGGGCGCAAGUGCGUGCCCAAGAUCUUGGGAGAAGGGACUGUGGGGUGGUCAUCCCCGCGGGGGGUGAUUUCUCACUUUUCCUCAAUGUCCCUGUCUCUCUCUGGUGAACACACAUGCCCUAAAGCAAAAACCUCUAUAUAAAAAAAGAGGGGGCAAAAGGACCCCCCCCCUAAGUCUCUACUCAGUCACUCCCACACUGGCGGGGCCGGCCCCACGCCCACGCCAAAACAGGCAGGGGC